rnacentral:piRNA from 1 species
UGGGGUGUUUUCCUCUGGCGUCAGAGAUGUU